CGUGUGGUUCUAUUUUGUUGGUUUCUAGGACCGCCGUAAUGAUUAAUAGGGACAGUCGGGGGCAUCAGUAUUCAAUUGUCAGAGGUGAAAUUCUUGGAUUUAUUGAAGACUAACUACUGCGAAAGCAUUUGCCAAGGAUGUUUUCAUUAAUCAGGAACGAAAGUUAGGGGAUCGAAGACGAUCAGAUACCGUCGUAGUCUUAACCAUAAACUAUGCCGACUAGGGAUCGGACGGUGUUAUUUUUUGACCCGUUCGGCACCUUACGAGAAAUCAAAGUGCUUGGGCUCCAGGGGGAGUAUGGUCGCAAGGCUGAAACUUAAAGAAAUUGACGGAAGGGCACCACCAGGGGUGGAGCCUGCGGCUUAAUUUGACUCAACACGGGGAAACUCA
rnacentral:rRNA from 1 species